GGUUCUAUAGUGUAGCGGUCAUCACAUCGGAUUCUGAACAAACUCGGCUCUUCCGGUAACCCCGGUUCGAUUCCGGGUAGGACCU